AGCAUAUCAAUAAGCGGAGGAAAAGAAACUAACAAGGAUUCCCCUAGUAACUGCGAGUGAAGCGGGAAAAGCUCAAAUUUAAAAUCUGGCGGUCUUCGGCCGUCCGAGUUGUAGUCUGGAGAAGUGCUUUCCGCGCUGGACCGUGUACAAGUCUCUUGGAACAGAGCGUCAUAGAGGGUGAGAAUCCCGUCUUUGACACGGACUACCAGUGCUUUGUGAUGCGCUCUCAAAGAGUCGAGUUGUUUGGGAAUGCAGCUCAAAAUGGGUGGUAAAUUCCAUCUAAAGCUAAAUAUUGGCGAGAGACCGAUAGCGAACAAGUACCGUGAGGGAAAGAUGAAAAGCACUUUGGAAAGAGAGUUAAACAGUACGUGAAAUUGCUGAAAGGGAAACGAUUGAAGUCAGUCGCGUUGGCCAGGACUCAGCCUUGCUUUUUGCUCGGUGCAUUUUCUGGUUGACGGGCCAGCAUCGAUUUUAACCGUCGGAAAAAGGUUGGGGGAAUGUGGCACCUUCGGGUGUGUUAUAGCCCUCAGUCACAUACGGCGAUUGGGAUCGAGGACCGCAGCACGCCUUUAUGGCCGGGGUUCGCCCACGUUCGUGCUUAGGAUGCUGGCGUAAUGGCUUUAAACGACCCGUCUUGAAACACGGACCAAGGAGUCUAACAUGCCUGCGAGUGUUUGGGUGGAAAACCCGAGCGCGUAAUGAAAGUGAAAGUUGAGAUCCCUGUCGCGGGGAGCAUCGACGCCCGGACUUGAACUUCGGUGAUAGAUCUGCGGUAGAGCAUGUAUGUUGGGACCCGAAAGAUGGUGAACUAUGCCUGAAUAGGGUGAAGCCAGAGGAAACUCUGGUGGAGGCUCGUAGCGAUUCUGACGUGCAAAUCGAUCGUCAAAUUUGGGUAUAGGGGCGAAAGACUAAUCGAACCAUCUAGUAGCUGGUUCCUGC
rnacentral:rRNA from 1 species